AGUGUUCAAUAGAACUGUGGUAGGUGAGUAAUGUCCCCUACUAGAAAGGAGAGGGCAAGGCUGGUGCCAGCCGCCGCGGUAAAACCAGCUCUUCAAGUGGUCGGGAUAAUUAUUGGGCUUAAAGUGUCCGUAGCCGGUUUAGUAAGUUCCUGGUAAAAUCGGGUAGCUUAACUAUCUGCAUGCUAGGAAUACUGCUAUACUAGAGGGCGGGAGAGGUCUGAGGUACUACAGGGGUAGGGGUGAAAUCUUAUAAUCCUUGUAGGACCACCAGUGGCGAAGGCGUCAGACUGGAACGCGCCUGACGGUGAGGGACGAAAGCCAGGGGAGCGAACCGGAUUAGAUACCCGGGUAGUCCUGGCCGUAAACGAUGCAUACUAGGUGAUGGUACGGCCAUGAGCCGUAUCAGUGCCGUAGGGAAACCGUUAAGUGU
rnacentral:rRNA from 1 species